rnacentral:rRNA from 1 species
AACGAACGCUGGCGGCAGGCCUAACACAUGCAAGUCGAGCGAGGACUUCGGUCCUAGCGGCGGACGGGUGAGUAACGCGUGGGAACGUGCCCUAUGCUUCGGAAUAGCCCUGGGAAACUGGGAGUAAUACCGGAUGAGCCCUUUGGGGGAAAGAUUUAUCGGCGAAGGAUCGGCCCGCGUUGGAUUAGGUAGUUGGUGGGGUAAUGGCCUACCAAGCCGACGAUCCAUAGCUGGUUUGAGAGGAUGAUCAGCCACACUGGGACUGAGACACGGCCCAGACUCCUACGGGAGGCAGCAGUGGGGAAUCUUAGACAAUGGGGGAAACCCUGAUCUAGCCAUGCCGCGUGAGCGAUGAAGGCCUUAGGGUUGUAAAGCUCUUUCAGCUGGGAAGAUAAUGACGGUACCAGCAGAAGAAGCCCCGGCUAACUCCGUG